rnacentral:rRNA from 1 species
GAACGUACCCUUUUCUGCAGGAUAGCCACUGGAAACGGUGAGUAAUACUGCAUACGCCCUUCGGGGGAAAGAUUUAUCGGAGAAGGAUCGGCCCGCGUUAGAUUAGGUAGUUGGUGGGGUAAUGGCCUACCAAGCCUACGAUCUAUAGCUGGUUUGAGAGGAUGAUCAGCCACACUGGGACUGAGACACGGCCCAGACUCCUACGGGAGGCAGCAGUGGGGAAUCUUAGACAAUGGGGGCAACCCUGAUCUAGCCAUGCCGCGUGAGUGAUGAAGGCCUUAGGGUCGUAAAGCUCUUUCGCUGGGGAAGAUAAUGACGGUACCCAGUAAAGAAACCCCGGCUAACUCCGUGCCAGCAGCCGCGGUAAUACGGAGGGGGUUAGCGUUGUUCGGAAUUACUGGGCGUAAAGCGCGCGUAGGCGGAUCAGAAAGUUGGGGGUGAAAUCCCGGGGCUCAACCUCGGAACUGCCUCCAAAACUCCUGGUCUUGAGUUCGAGAGAGGUGAGUGGAACUCCGAGUGUAGAGGUGAAAUUCGUAGAUAUUCGGAAGAACACCAGUGGCGAAGGCGGCUCACUGGCUCGAUACUGACGCUGAGGUGCGAAAGUGUGGGGAGCAAACAGGAUUAGAUACCCUGGUAGUCCACACCGUAAACGAUGAAUGCCAGUCGUCGGGUAGCAUGCUAUUCGGUGACACACCUAACGGAUUAA